UCAGCCGCCGACUAAUAGAAAAAGAGACUGCAUACAACGUUUCAUUUAUGUUUUGUCAGGCUAGAUACAUUUGUUGUAGCGGUCUCAUAUUUGUAAGUCCAUGAAAAAACCUGAAAGUAUUUUUUUCUUGAAAACUUUUUUGAAAAAAAAAGUAAAAUGUCAUUAGGAGUGAGAAUCAGGAAUGAUGGAUUCAGGGUCUAGUUGCAAGAUUCAUCACAGGCCAUUAACCUCUGAAAAGCCUUUAUCUGCUUCGCUUUGUUACGUAUCAGACGCGGAUAUUACUUACGAGUAUUGAAUGAUCCCCUCAGUAAACACCAGCUAUGCAGGAGGUGCUACCUUAGCAAUACGAGCUUCAGUCUGGG